rnacentral:rRNA from 1 species
UACGUAGGGGGCAAGCGUUGUCCGGAUUUACUGGGCGUAAAGAGCGCGUAGGCGGAACGUUAAGCGGGGCCGGAAAGCCCCCGGCUCAACCGGGGAAGGGGCCGCGAACUGGCGUUCUUGGAGGGGGGGAGAGGAGAGCGGAAUUCCUGGUGUAGCGGUGAAAUGCGUAGAGAUCAGGAGGAACACCCAUGGCGAAGGCAGCUCUCUGGCCUCACCCUGACGCUGAGGCGCGAAAGCGUGGGGAGCGAACGGG